rnacentral:lncRNA from 1 species
AUGCCCUUCCUGUCUCAUGGCUUAGUUGUUUGGGGAAGAGGCCAACUCACAGACAGCAAGAAGAAAUUGGGGUUUCUUGGCAAACCAAGAUCUUCAGAUGCAAACUUCACUCAUGGGCUCAUUAGCACCAAACACAAGAUAAACUUGACCUGUGUUACAGUGUCCAUCCUUUGGGCAUACCAGAGAAAUCACUCCAGCCCUAUUCAAUACCCUGGGCAGCAUGUGGACUUCUAAUUAGAACUUUUCCCUACAGGGUGAGGUCUGGGCCUGUGGUUUUCAAAGCAUCACCCAUCCCCUGCUUGCUCACAGAACACAGACCAGGGCUCCUGGAAGGAUUGCCAAAUGCACACUUGCCUGAUGGGCUCGCAUCCCACCCUUAGUUUUCUGACUUGCUUUGCCUGCUUUGCGGUGGCUGAGGACUCUCAGGA